UGGUCCUGCCUCAGUACUGUUUUGUAAGUGCUUUUACUCCUCGAUUUCAUAUCUAGCCAGCUGAUAUUUUGCGAUUUAAUAAACUUGGAGUGUUUACGUAGCUUGGAAAAUGUACAGAUUAUACAUUUUGAGAUGAAUUUGUAAUAGUUAUUUGCAUUUUAUACUUUUCUGGAAGUCCUAAGCUUCAUAUCUCCAGUUGCUUUGCUCUUUGAGAGUCCAAAUUCACCAGUCCUCACAACUUUCCAGUUACAUAUUCCAGUUUUACUUCUUCCAGUUGCUAUUCCAGUAGUUCCUCCAGUGGAUAAAUAGUCCACCGUUGUUUUCCAAACCGACACGCAGUGGGUCUACAUCAUUCAUUGGCAUUUGAAGGCUACUUUGACUUUCCCCAAGUAGUUAAUCACUGAUUUGAGCCAGAUUCUUGGCCAACCAGUAGUUCAAGUCAAUAUUGCACCACAUUUGGCAGUUGUUGUGCUGACCGAAGUGUGAAGUGUAUUUGGCAGACCGCAAUUGUGUUGUUUUAAAUACAGUCUCACUAUUUGGCAGGCUGUGUUUGCAUCCUUAUGGAAUCCCUUUUAAGUCCUUUCUCACGGGAUAUCCUGAGUACGACCAGCUCACGUAGUGCAGAGACCACAGAACUGGUGGCCUCCUACGACUGCAAUGGCUGAUGGGAAAUGUAGUUCAUGGGAGCUUAUUUGGCAAAGAUCAAAGACAUUUCCAGUUAUUAUAAAAAGAUUUCCAGUGUGUCUCUGCUAUAUCCUGUGUGUGUGUGUGUCUCCACCCUGACUCCCAGCUUUGUGGUUUCUCCUGGGACUUUGGCAGCAGUUCAGAGUCUUGGUCUUCUUCAGGACAUAACCCUGUUAGAAGAUGGAGGUCCAAAUCUGGUUAGAUCUUUGAUUAGAUUUCACUUGAAAAUUGAAUUGUUUUGUUAAAGCCGCAGUGUGUCAUUUCCAUGCCGCUAACAGUAUCAAACUGAACUGCAGUCUGUUUAAAUGGGCUCAACCAGUGAUGUCUAUAUAUGGAAGACGCUAUUAACCUUAGCAUUUGCUAGCAUUGUUAACCCAACAAUGGUAGAUGGGGUGUUGGAAAAUAUUUCUGCAGUUCUCUUUGAUGCCACUAAUUACACAGAAAUGACUCAGUUUUGUUGUAUUCUAUGUUUAGUAGUGUAUGGGUCAAUGGCAUGUAAGAGCAUUCACAAGGUACUCAUUGCAUUCUUGUUGGUUUCAUAUAAUUUUGAAAAACCUUUAUAUCA